GGUACGUGGCUGGCUGCAUGGUGGCGUGGCUGCGUGGUACGUGGCUGGCUGCAUGGUGGCGUGGCUGCGUGGUACGUGGCUGGCUGCAUUGUGGCGUGGCUGCGCGGUGGCGUGGCUGCAUGGUGGCGUGGCUGGCUGCAUGGUGGCUGGCUGCAUAGUGGCGUGGCUGCGUGGUACGUGGCUGGCUGCAUGGUGGCGUGGCUGCGCGGUAUAGCUGGAGGUUGAAACAGAACAUGCAUCCCAAGUGGCACCAUGACCCUAGGGAGCCCAUAGAGCUCUGUUCAGAAGGAAUUCCCCAUAUAGGGGAUAGGGUGCUAUUUCAGAUGCAGGGUUUCAGAGGUUUCAGAGAGAUAUACUGGUCCUGGGACAUUACAUGGGGUUUCAGAGAGAUAUACUGGUCCUGGGACAUUACAUGGGGUUUCAGAGAGAUAUACUGGUCCUGGGACAUUACAUGGGGUUUCAGAGAGAUAUACUGGUCCUGGGACAUUACAUGGGGUUUCAGAGAGAGAUAUACUGGUCCUGGGACAUUACAUGGGGUUUCAGAGAGAUAUACUGGUCCUGGGACAUUACAUGGGGUUUCAGAGAUAUACUGGUCCUGGGACAUUACAUGGGGUUUCAGAGAGAUAUACUGGUCCUGGGACAUUACAUGGGGUUUCAGAGAGAGAUAUACUGGUCCUGGGACAUUACAUGAGGUUUCAGAGAGAUAUACUGGUCCUGGGACAUUACAUGGGGUUUCAGAGAGAUAUACUGGUCCUGGGACAUUACAUGGGGUUUCAGAGAGAUAUACUGGUCCUGGGACAUUACAUGGGGUUUCAGAGAGAUAUACUGGUCCUGGGACAUUACAUGGGGUUUCAGAGAUAUACUGGUCCUGGGACAUUACAUGGGGUUUCAGAGAUAUACUGGUCCUGGGACAUUACAUGAGGUUUCAGAGAGAGAUAUACUGGUCCUGGGACAUUACAUGAGGUUUCAGAGAGAUAUACUGGUCCUGGGACAUUACAUGGGGUUUCAGAGAUAUACUGGUCCUGGGACAUUACAUGGGGUUUCAGAGAUAUACUGGUCCUGGGACAUUACAUGGGGUUUCAGAGAGAUAUACUGGUCCUGGGACAUUACAUGGGGUUUCAGAGAUAUACUGGUCCUGGGACAUUACAUGGGGUUUCAAGAGAUAUACUGGUCCUGGGACAUUACAUGGGGUUUCAGAGAUAUACUGGUCCUGGGACAUUACAUGGGGUUUCAGAGAUAUACUGGUCCUGGGACAUUACAUGGGGUUUCAGAGAGAUAUACUGGUCCUGGGACAUUACAUGGGGUUUCAGAGAGAUAUACUGGUCCUGGGACAUUACAUGGGGUUUCAGAGAGAGAUAUACUGGUCCUGGGACAUUACAUGGGGUUUCAGAGAGAUAUACUGGUCCUGGGACAUUACAUGGGAGGCAUCCCAAAUGGUACCAUUUUCCCUAUUUAGUGCACUUCCUAUGGACCCUGGUCGAAAGCAGUGCACUAUUAGUGUGCCAUUUUAAAAUGAACAGUAUCUCCUAAUAUAAAAGGCCUGACACCUAAAAUGGGGUCUGAGGUAAUCACGCUGUGCUUCAGGAUGGGGGUUUCCAAAAUGGGGUCUGAGGUAAUCACGCUGUGCUUUAGGACGGGGGUUUCCAAAAUGGGGUUCGAGGUAAUCACGCUGUGCUUCAGGAUGGGGGUUUCCAAAAUGGGGUUCGAGGUAAUCACGCUGUGCUUUAGGAGGGGGUUUCCAAAAUGGGGUUCGAGGUAAUCACGCUGUGCUUCAGGAUGGGGGUUUCCAAAAUGGGGUUCGAGGUAAUCACGCUGUGCUUUAGGACGGGGGUUUCCAAAAUGGGGUUCGAGGUAAUCACGCUGUGCUUCAGGAUGGGGGUUUUCAAAAUGGGGUCUGAGGUACUGCAGGGGGUCCACAAUGUAUGUACAAAUAUUUUUGUGGGGUGAAAAAUGAUUUUAUGACUAUCGCUAGCUACAACAGGAUACCAUCCCGGAUACCAUGUUUGUCUCUGCUGCCAGCAUGAAGGAAGUCAGAGGUAGUUUCACAAGUCAAUGCUAACUAACGUUAGCGCAAUGACUGGAAAUCUACAGGAACAGUUAGUAUGCAAGCUGUUCCUGUUAAUCCGACUACUAAAGUAGAUAAAUGACUAAAUUUCCAAAAUCUCCAACUAUCCCUUUUUAAUAUGGAAGAAAUUAGUCAUUGGUGCUAAUUUACAGGGUUUUUUUCUGUAUAGAAAAUGAUUAGGCAGACCGUUUUAAGUGGUCAUUUUCGGGAUGGAAAGAUCGCUUGUAUCAACUUUUUAAACGACCAAAAACCAGAUAGAAAGCAUUAAAAAAAAAAAGAAUAUUGAAUUGUAUGUAUAAUUUUUUUUUUACAUAACACCAUCUUUCAGAACUAGCAAUCAAAUAAAAGCUAGACAGUCCUGGAAAAUCAAAUUCCCAAAACAAGGCGUUCAGGGACACUGUAUUAGAAUGGCAGGAAAUUAGCUUUUAAAACGGACCAAUGUUCUUUCGGGCUAAAUGUAAACCUAAUUUAACACAUUGUUUUUCCAACCAUACCAUUUUUUUUUUCUUCUUCUUCUACGUUGCCAAGAUUUUUUUUAUUUUUUUUAUUUCACCUUUAUUUAACCAGGUAGGCAAGUUGAGAACAAGUUCUCAUUUACAAUUGCGACCUGGCCAAGAUAAAGCAAAGCAGUUCGACAACAUACAACAACACAGAGUUACACAUGGAGUUAAACAAACAUACAGUCAAUGAUACAGUAGAAAAGUCUAUAUACAAUGUGAGCAAAUGAGGUGAGAUAAGGGAGGUAAAGGCAAAAAAGUCCAAGGUGGCAAAGUAAAUACAAUAUAGCAAGUAAAACACUGGAAUGGUAGAUUUGUAGUGGAAGAAAGUGACUUAGCCUUUUCUAAUAGAUGGUUAGUUUACACAUCCUCUUGCAAUUAACUGCAGGUCGUUCAAAAUAAUGAAACCGUCUACCAAAUCUAUUCAUUUGAAAAUGUUGAUUUACUUCUGCUUGCCGUUUAUUAUUUACGUGAUGAUACAAGAUGUGACUUUUUAAUGUUUUUGCUAACAUAUGAUGGGGGGGUCCCUUUGUCGCCGGUUUGCCUGGGCGGGGGUCCCUGGGUCAUGGGCUUGCCUGGACGGGGGUCAUGGGCUUGCCUGGACGGGGGUCUGGGUUUGCCUGGGCGGGGGCUGUAUAACAGCAAACUCUGUCUUCAAUGGCCCCUUAUUCACGACAGGUGGCCAGGGCCCAUAGAGGUGUAGAUGGACACCAGGGCCCAUAGAGGACUAGAUGGACACCAGUGGCCAGGGCCCAUAGAGGUCUAGAUGGACACCAGUGGCCAGGGCCCAUAGAGGUGUAGAUGGACACUAGUGGCCAGGGCCCAUAGAGGUGUAGAUGGACACCAGUGGCCAGGGCCCAUAGAGGUGUAGAUGGACACCAGGGCCCAUAGAGGUCUAGAUGGACACCAGUGGCCAGGGCCCAUAGUGGUGUAGAUGGACACCAGUGGCCAGGGCCCAUAGAGGACUAGAUGGACACCAGUGGCCAGGGCCCAUAGAGGUGUAGAUGGACACUAGUGGCCAGGGCCCAUAGAGGUCUAGAUGGACACCAGUGGCCAGGGCCCAUAGAGGUGUAGAUGGACACCAGUGGCCAGGGCCCAUAGAGGUGUAGAUGGACACUAGUGGCCAGGGCCCAUAGAGGUCUAGAUGGACACCAGUGGCCAGGGCCCAUAGAGGUGUAGAUGGACACCAGUGGCCAGGGCCCAUAGAGGUGUAGAUGGACACCAGUGGCCAGGGCCCAUAGAGGUGUAGAUGGACACCAGUGGCCAGGGCCCAUAGAGGUCUAGAUGGACACCAGUGGCCAGGGCCCAUAGAGGUGUAGAUGGACACCAGUGGCCAGGGCCCAUAGAGGUCUAGAUGGACACCAGUGGCCAGGGCCCAUAGAGGUGUAGAUGGACACCAGGGCCCAUAGAGGUCUAGAUGGACACCAGUGGCCAGGGCCCAUAGAGGUGUAGAUGGACACCAGUGGCCAGGGCCCAUAGAGGUGUAGAUGGACACCAGUGGCCAGGGCCCAUAGAGGUGUAGAUGGACACCAGUGGCCAGGGCCCAUAGAGGUCUAGAUGGACCAUUUUCAGGACAGAUCCAGGAACAUUGGAACGAGCAGAUGGAGAAACUAACCACUGAUCUGAUUAGUAACUUUGUUAGAAUGACUGGAUUAAAACCAACGUUUCGCUCUGAAAUAGAACCUUUAUUCCCUAUAUAGUGGACUGCUUUUGACGCUGUAGUGCCUUAAAUAGGGAAUAGGGUGCCAUUUUGGAUGCGCACUCUGAAACCUAAGAUAUAACACUUAGGUGUACAGUAUAAAUACAUAGGACAUUGCUGUCUAGCGUUUUUGUAUUUAAAUUAUUUAUUUUUUUAGAUAUCGUACUAAUGCUAUAUUUGACAUGCGUAUAUAAAUGUGUACAUACAUGUUGGGUUAACAGAUAUUUCGGGUAACACUAGACACCCAGUGUCAUAUAACAUGUUAUGACACUGUCAUAUAACCAUCUCAUAACUGUUGACAUAACUUGUCAUAACACUCAUGAUGUAUAUUUACACAUGUCGUGACAUUUUGUUAGUUUAUGGCUGGUUAUGACGCCUGCGUAAGUGUCCAAACCAACAUUUUAUUAAAAAUGUGUUUUUCCCUGCCAAGAAGUUUCCUUUCGUUUGAAAAGUUUAUUUCAAUUUAAGUCUUUUAGUCGUAUUUCUUUUUCCUGGUUUUUAAAGUAACUUGUAGAAAAUACACUUUAUAACACUGUCAUGAAGCAUUAUGACCGUCAUAACCAUAUACGCCAGAUAGUCGUAUCACGUACAUGUCCUUACGUCAGUCAUCAGUGGAAAAGAGAUUGUCCUGCUCCUGAAAUCUGCUCCUGUGUUCAUCCCAGUCAUCAGAAACAGAGCACUGGGGAAGGUGCAUGUCUGACGGCAAUUUCAGAGAAUGUUAUGUAACAUUUUAACAACCUGUUCACCAGUAGUCUCUGAUGUAAUGGUAUGUUUUGCCUUGUGUUGUAGGUUUGGACCCUUAUGGAGGUGUUAUAACCAGCCUUAAAAUAACACAAUAUAUGUCACAACAGGUCUAAGUAUGUCAUGACAGGUUAUGAACAUGUCAUGACAGGUUAUGAACAUGUCAUGACAGGUUAUGAACAUGUCAUGACAGGUUAUGAACAUGUCAUGACAGGUUAUGAACAUGUCAUGACAGGUUAUGAACAUGUCAUGACAGGUUAUGAACAUGUCAUGACAGGUUAUGACACUGGGUGUCUAGUAAAGUGUUACUGAUGUUUCUAAGAAGGUGAUUGUAAAGAGGUGUUUUUAUAAUGAUUAAAUUACACCACUGGA